CAGCCGCCGCGGUAAUACGAAGGGGGCUAGCGUUGUUCGGAAUCACUGGGCGUAAAGGGUGCGCAGGCGGUUUCUUAAGUCUGAUGUGAAAGCCCCCGGCUCAACUGGGGAGGGUCAUUGGAAACUGGGAAACUUGAGUGCAGAAGAGGAGAGUGGAAUUCCACGUGUAGCGGUGAAAUGCGUAGAGAUGUGGAGGAACACCAGUGGCGAAGACGACUCUCUGGUCUGUAACUGACGCUGAGGAGCGAAAGCGUGGGGAGCGAACAGGAUAAGAGACCCGAGUAGUCCCUGUCUCUUAUAC
rnacentral:rRNA from 1 species